rnacentral:rRNA from 1 species
CCCAGACUCCUACGGGAGGCAGCAGUGGGGAAUAUUGCACAAUGGGGGAAACCCUGAUGCAGCGACGCCGCGUGAGCGAUGAAGUAUUUCGGUAUGUAAAGCUCUAUCAGCAGGGAAGAAAAUGACGGUACCUGACUAAGAAGCCCCGGCUAACUACGUGCCAGCAGCCGCGGUAAUACGUAGGGGGCAAGCGUUAUCCGGAUUUACUGGGUGUAAAGGGAGCGUAGACGGCAGUGCAAGUCUGGAGUGAAAGGCGGGGGCUCAACCCCCGGACUGCAUUUGGAACUGUAAGGCUAGAGUGUCGGAGAGGCAGGCGGAAUUCCUAGUGUAGCGGUGAAAUGCGUAGAUAUUAGGAGGAACACCAGUGGCGAAGGCGGCCUGCUGGACGAUGACUGACGUUGAGGCUCGAAAGCGUGGGGAGCAAACAGGAUUAGAUACCCUAGUA